rnacentral:rRNA from 1 species
CCUACGGGUGGCAGCAGUGAGGAAUAUUGGUCAAUGGGCGCGAGCCUGAACCAGCCAAGUCGCGUGAGGGAAGACGGUCCUAUGGAUUGUAAACCUCUUUUGUCGGGGAGCAAAAGACGCCACGCGUGGCGUUCCGAGAGUACCCGAAGAAAAAGCAUCGGCUAACUCCGUGCCAGCAGCCGCGGUAAUACGGAGGAGGCGAGCGUUAUCCGGAUUUAUUGGGUUUAAAGGGUGCGCAGGCGGAAGAUCAAGUCAGCGGUAAAAUUGAGAGGCUCAACCUCUUCGAGCCGUUGAAACUGGUUGUCUUGAGUGAGUGAGAGGUAUGCGGAAUGCGUGGUGUAGCGGUGAAAUGCUUAGAGAUCACGCAGAACCCCGAUUGCGAAGGCAGCAUACCGGCGCUCAACUGACGCUCAUGCACGAAAGUGUGGGUAUCGAACAGGAUUAGAUACCCGAGUAGUC